rnacentral:rRNA from 1 species
UUUCUGCUAUAACAGAAAGCUAUUCCUGCCCUAUGAACAUAAAUAGCCGCAGUUCUCUGUGCUAAGGUAGCACAAUAACUUGCCUCUUAAUUUAAGGAUCGCAUGAAAGGACACAUGACUUUUUCCUUUUUUCAUAUACUUAAAAUAAACUUAACUAUUAAGUAAAAAGGCUUAUAUUUAAAAGAAGGACGACAAGACCCUAUAGAACUUUACUCUAGUUAGACUGGGGUGGUUUAAAACAAAAUCUUAUUUACAAUACCUUUAUAUUGACCUGAAACUUUCAAUAAAAAGAACAAGUUACCUUAGGGAUAACAGAGCAAUUUCUUUUUAGACAUCUUCCAAAAAGAAGCUUUCUACCUCGAUGUUGAAUUAAUAUUACUUCAUAAAUAAAUAUUAUUAAAGUGGGUCUGUUCGACCUUUAAAAUAUUACAUGAUUUGAGUUCAGACCGGUGUAAACCAGGUCAGAUUCUAUCCUCUCUACAUUCAUCACAGUACGAAAGGACCUGAUGAGAGAUAU